AAGUCGUAACAAGGUAACCGUAGGUGAACCUGCGGUUGGAUCAUUAAUAAAUUUAUAAAGAAUAAAGGGGGUAAAAUCCCUUUAAUCUUUAACAAAUUUGUGAAUUUUAUUAAAAUCUUUUUGAAAGAGUAGUAAUAUUCUUUUCAAAAAAAUCAAUUUAAACAACUUUGUCUUUAACAAACUUUUAAAUUUAUAAUUUAAAAAACAACUUUUGACAACGGAUCUCUUGGCUCUC
rnacentral:misc_RNA from 1 species